UACGUAGGGUGCGAGCGUUAAUCGGAAUUACUGGGCGUAAAGCGUGCGCAGGCGGUGAUGUAAGACAGAUGUGAAAUCCCCGGGCUCAACCUGGGACCUGCAUUUGUGACUGCAUCGCUAGAGUACGGCAGAGGGGGAUGGAAUUCCGCGUGUAGCAGUGAAAUGCGUAGAGAUCGGAAAGAACACCAGUGGCGAAGGCGGCGACCUGGGUCCAAACUGACACUGAGGUGCGAAAGCGUGGGGAGCAAACAGG
rnacentral:rRNA from 1 species